rnacentral:lncRNA from 1 species
AUACCUAAUUUAAUCCCUUCAUAACUCUGUGAAGUGGGUCAGUAUUGAUGGGUCAGCUUAACUAACAGGUAUUAGGAAUGAGAUCCAAAAACAACCAGCCAUGAUUGCACAGCUUGUGGAACCCAGGUUCUUUGACACUCAGCCCAGUGUUCCACCUGCAAUGGCAACCUAAGUGAGGAGGGGGCCUCAGAGAUGAGGUGGUUGACCCUUACAAUGCUGAUAUUCUCCAUGCUUUCUCAGAGCAAGUGGCUGAAUCUCUUUCGUGACAGAGAACUCACCACCUACCAAGGCAGCCCAUCUUAUUAGGUCUAGUUUUUAAAAAAGAUACUUAUGAUGAGCACAAUUCUGUGUCUCUCAUACUCUAUGGAAACGACCAAUUUCUGACCUCUGUGUCACAAAGAGUAAGUAUAAUUCUUCACAUAAUAGCCCUCCAAAUAUUUGAAAUCUCUAUAGUCAUAGCCAGGCAUAUUGCAUCAAAAUAAAUGACUAUUUUCUGCAUGAGGGUUGGUCCAAAUGUCCUAGCCCACCAUUAUCAGAAGCAAGAAGUCCUCCCUAUUUUUUGAAGAACUAUAUUUAUUUGCUCAAAUCAUAUUUAUUAGGGGCCUGCUAUCUGCCUGGCAAUGGGGAUGCAGCAAUACACAGGUCAAAUAGACAGGCAUUUGGAGUGUGGAAGUGGGUGCCCACCCUAGUUGGGGAGCAUCUCAGGAUGUCAUGCGGAGAUGACAUGUCAACCGAGCCCAGAGGGCAACACGAGUUGACAGAGAAGAGUAUUUCCUACAGGGAGAAACUGGAGGCAGCUGUAGUGAGGUGCUGAUGGGUUCUGGCCACCACCUGGACCACCUAGAUUUGAUGUUUCUCCACCCCCACUUAGUUGUGUCACCCUGGACAAGUUCCUCACCCACUGCGUGCUUUAGAACCAUCACUGUGAAACGGGAGAUGUGAUAGGAAUGUUGUGAGGAUUGUUUGAGUGAAUACAUGUGAAGGAUUAGGACAAGCCUGGCACACAGUUAAUGCCCAACGUUUGCUUUCGUGACUGGAGGGAAACAAGGUAGUGGGCAGGAAGGGGGAGUACGCAGACAGUUCCUGCUAAGCCUUGUAAGUCAUCCAUGGCCCAGCACCGUAACCAGAGAAGCGAGGAUGAGACUUCCACUUUGAGAAAGGCCUCUCUGGCCGCAGCAUGUAGAAGAAUGGGAGGGCAUUAGAAUGUGUGUGCACGGACUAGGUGGGAGCUAACUGCAGGGCUGGCAUCUGUGACACAGAUUAUCUCUCUUCAUCCUGAACCCCUCCCUCUUCCCAUCUCAAAUCCUUUUCCCAUUCCUGACCACAUCCUCCACCUGUCAGAAAGUCACAGGUGUUAAGGAAGAGAUGUGCUCAGGUGUUAAGGUGUGCUUUAAAGUCAUGACAAUGGGGCCCAUGACUGGGAACCUGCUGGGAGAGGUGGCCUGUAGUGUGUCUGGAGUACACGGGGGACCCUGGGAGCAUCUUCUGUGGCCCUGGCCCCUGGCAGGCCUGCAUCAUUUGGUGCUGUGCCACUAUCUGAUCCACCACGGGAGCCAUGUGCUGUUCGUUCCACAAGGAGCCUUUUCAACAGGGAGACGUCAGGCCCAACUGGAUUCUAGCCACCUUGGUCUCCAGUCUCCUACUCUCAAGCCCAUGAAUGACAAUCCAGCACAGUAAAUUUGGUUCUGUGAGCAGCAUCU